GCCUCGGUGGUGUAGUGGUUAGUGCACGCGUCCCUGGGUAGGAUGAAACGCGGGUUCGAUUCCUGCCCGAGGCC